UACGAAGGGGGCUAGCGUUGCUCGGAAUCACUGGGCGUAAAGGGUGCGUAGGCGGGUCUUUUAGUCAGGGGUGAAAUCCUGGAGCUCAACUCCAGAACUGCCUUUGAUACUGAGGAUCUUGAGUUCGGGAGAGGUGAGUGGAACUGCGAGUGUAGAGGUGAAAUUCGUAGAUAUUCGUAAGAACACCAGUGGCGAAGGCGGCUCACUGGCCCGAUACUGACGCUGAGGCACGAAAGCGUGGGGAGCAAACAGG
rnacentral:rRNA from 1 species